rnacentral:rRNA from 1 species
GAGUUUGAUCAUGGCUCAGGACGAACGCUGGCGGCGUGCUUAACACAUGCAAGUCGAGCGAUGAAGUUCCUUCGGGAACAGAUUAGCGGCGAACGGGUGAGGAACACGUGAGGAAUCUGCCUUCUACUCUGGGAUAACUCCGGGAAACCGGGGCUAAUACUGGAUAUGAAACCUGAUGGCAUCAUCGGGUUUGGAAAGUUUUUCGGUAGAAGAUGACCUCGCGGCCUAUCAGCUUGUUGGUGAGGUAAUGGCUCACCAAGGCGACGACGGGUAGCCGGCCUGAGAGGGCGACCGGCCACACUGGGACUGAGACACGGCCCAGACUCCUACGGGAGGCAGCAGUGGGGAAUAUUGGGCAAUGGAGGAAACUCUGACCCAGCGACGCCGCGUGCGGGAUGAAGGCCUUCGGGUUGUAAACCGCUUUCAGCAGGGAAGAAGCGAAAGUGACGGUACCUGCAGAAGAAGCACCGGCUAACUAUGUGCCAGCAGCCGCGGUAAUACAUAGGGUGCAAGCGUU